rnacentral:rRNA from 1 species
AUUGAACGCUGGCGGCAGGCCUAACACAUGCAAGUCGAACGAGUGGCGGACGGGUGAGUAAUUUCUGGGAAACUGCCUGAUGGAGGGGGAUAACUACUGGAAACGGUAGCUAAUACCGCAUACCAUCGGAUGUGCCCAGAGGGGAUUAGCUAGUAGGGGGGGUAAAGGCUCACCUAGGCGACUAUCCCUAGCUGGGCUGAGAGGAUGACAAGGAAGACGGGAACUGGGACACGGUCAAGACUCCUACGGGAGGUAGCAGUAGGGAAUAUUGCACAAUGGGCGCAAGCCGGAAGCAGCAAUGCCGCGUGUAUGAAGAAGGCCUGCGGGUUGUAAAGUACUUUCAGCAGGGAGGCGUUACCCAAAGAAGAAGCACCGGCUAACUCCGUGCCAGCAGCCGCGGUAAUAC